GAUGAAGAGCGUAGCGAAAAGCGAUAAGUAAUGUGAAUUGCAGAAUUCAGUGAAUCAUCGAAUCUUUGAACGCACCUUGCGCUCCUUGGUAUUCCGAGGAGCAUGCCUGUUUGAGUGUCAUUAAUAUAUCAACCUUCUCUUUUUUGAGUUGUUUGGAUGUGGGGGUUUGCUGGCCUCUUAAAUGAUUCAGCUCCCCUGAAAUGCAUUAGCAGAGCAACCUGUUCAUUGGCGUGAUAAUUAUCUAUGCUAUUGAAUGUGAGGGCAGUUCAGCUUUCUAACCGUCCUUGGACAAUUCAUCAUUAAUGUGACCUCAAAUCAGGUAGGACUACCCGCUGAACUUAGGCAUAUCAAUAAGCGGAGGA
rnacentral:misc_RNA from 1 species